rnacentral:rRNA from 1 species
GACGAACGCUGGCGGCGUGCUUAACACAUGCAAGUCGAACGGACAGGCCCUGCUUUUGCGGGGCGCUCGAGUGGCGAACGGGUGAGUAACACGCGAGUAACCUGCCCCUGACUUUGGGAUAACUUCUGGAAACUGGGGCUCAUACCGGAUAGGAGCUCCUGCUGCAUGGUGGGGGUUGGAAAGUUUCGGCGGUUGGGGAUGGACUCGCGGCUUAUCCGCUUGUUGGUGAGGUAGUGGCUUACCAAGGUUUUGACGGGUAGCCGGCCUGAGAGGGUGACCGGCCACAAUGGGACUGAGAGACGCCCCAGACUCCUACGGGAGGCAGCAGGGGAGAAUAUGGCGCAAUGGGCGGAAGCCUGAUGCAACAGCGCCGCGUGCGGAAUGACGGCCUACGGGUGGUAAACCGCUUUCGCCUGUGACGAAGCGGGAGUGACGGUAAUGAGUAAGAAAGCACCGGCUAACUACGUG